rnacentral:tRNA from 1 species
CCCUAGGUGGUGCAGAUGGUUAAUGUGCUCAGCUGCUAACUGAGAGAUUGGAGGUUCGAGUCCAUCCCAAGGUG